AUGACGCGCCCCACGCCCACGCUCCUGCGACGCAUCGCCCCGGCGCCCGCAGCCACCCCCGCUGCCGCAGCCACCCCCGCCGCUGCUGCCCUGCCCCAGACCCGACCUCUGGGCAGCCCCCCGCCGUCCUCGCUCCACCCGCCUGGCUUCCCAUGGCCGCUCACUUCAGGGGGGACGGUCGCAAUCCCCUCCCCGCUGCAUCUGGUUGUCGCUCCCUCUGCAGAUCUGGAGUCGCCGCUGUGCAUCGAUGCGGAUUCGAGCUCCUCCUUUGUUGGUGAUUCCCUGCUGGAGGACCCUGCAGAGGCGGGUGCGGUGCGGCCGCGCUCGGUCGGCUUUGCAUUCAAUGCCAUGGUGCUGGAUUCCACCCCACCCCCUCCCAUUCAAGGCGUGCACCGACCUUGCCUCAAGACUGCUCCUACAGGCGCCUUCAAGACCCGCCGGCGUGCGGCGUGGACGUCCCGUCGCUCGAGCCCCGAGCCAGACGUGUCCCCUGGCGCAAGCUCCGAUGAUGGUUGGCAGCUCGUCAAAGCGCCAUUUUGGUGGCGUUCCCUCCCCAGCUACCAGCAUUCAAGACGGAGGAGAGCUGCUGCUUCUUAUUCCCCUCCAACAGGCAGAUCUUUCGUCCCCCACCGCUUCCGCACCUACCACCGCUGCCUCGACGUUGGCCACUGCAAGGCCGACUGCCGGAAUCCAUUCAAGUGUCGGGAGUGUCGGCAGUGUGGUCACCGCACCCGUGACUGCACUGUGUCGCCCGCCUCCUCGCCCCUGUCCUCAAGGUGUGAUUCGCCAACUCCAGCUGCGACUGCGUUCCAAGCCUCCACGUCGUGGUGCCUGCUCCGGUCGUUGCCAACAUCAGCUGCGCCCCACGUCUCCCCGACAGAGUGCCUGGAGCCCCUUGCUUCUGUGAUGCCGCGCGUUGGAGACCCUUCGCUACGCUCGGAGGAGGCCCAUGUGGUCAUCUCCUCCACGCCGGCAAUGGAGGCCAGCACCGUCUCCCUCUCCAACCUGGGCGUGCUGGUCUGGAUCGGUGGGAACCGCCCUCGCGUCAACGCUGCAGAAAUCAGGAACGCCCUCGCCAACAAGUUCGUCAUCGACCGCGAGUACAUCAAGGUGGUGCCGCACUACCCGGAGGACUUCUUCGCCCUCUUCACGCACCCGCAUCACUGCGACAUCGCAACCGCCUCGCCUGGUCGCUUCAGCCAUGGCGGCCUGGACAUCCAUGUCACCAAAUGGAGGCCAGAGGCCAACGCUGACCUUAUGGAGGCCUACUACCACGUCCAUCUUUGCAUCGAGAACCUGUCGCUCCAUGCUUGGUGCGACGAGGUGGCGACCCAGGUGCUCGGCCCCGACACUUUUCUGCACUACUUCGACGUCGCCACCGUCCAACGAGAGGACUCAUCCACCCUCAGUCUCUGGGCGUGGUCCGCCAACCCCUCCGCCAUCCCAAAGGUGCUGCGUCUCACGAUCACCGGCAACCAGCCAGCCGGCUACAGCAAUGGGCCGAGUGCUACUGUUAGUCAACGCGGCCUCAAGCGCCGCCUCCUGGUGCACCUCGACCUGGUGGAAGACUUCACGCCCGACAUCAACGGCAACAUCCCUCGACGCCCUCGCUCCUUGCACCCGUUCUCCAUCACCCUGGGGGUCAUUGAUGGCGAGUCCAGAACACGAGACAGGUCAGAGGUGGCGGUGCGCCGCCGUGAUGAGGAUCAAGACAGAGACCGCCAUGACGAUGACCGCGACUGCGACCGUCGAGGCCAUGAUGAGCGCCCCUCUUCCUGGAGGGACCGUUUCUUCAGGAGCAGGUCGUGA
rnacentral:rRNA from 1 species